CCUCCAGCAUGUACCGUGGUCCUGGGAGCGCCUGAGAACUCAACUGAAGAACGACUCACCCCCUGUCUCCCUGAGGCUGACGGUGAUUCAGAAGGUGCCUUGACCUACUACAAGGUGCAGAGCUCCUGAGGACCCCCUCAGCCUCAGCAGAUUUGCAGCACAACCUGGGGCCAUGACAUGGAGGGUAGGGUGGAAGAAGAGCAGAGCAUCUGAUGAUGGUUCAUUUGUUCCAGACUUUACUGCAGAGGCUUGGAGGCUGUGGCUGCCAGACCAGUGGGAGGUGUGUCUUCAUGUAUUGGUUGGAAAUCUGGUGUGGGUCUCACUGGGCUAAAAUACUGGUGUUGGCAGAGCUGUGUUCUUUCCUGGAGGCUCCAGAAGAGCCAGCUGCCUUGCCUUGUCCAGCUUCUAGAGAUGCCUGCUUCUGACCACCUUCCUCCACCAUCAGAGCCAUCAAAUGCAGGGCCCUUCCUGUGACCAAACAUUUUUACCAGACCAUCUGAUUCUGACAGAAGCACAAUGAUGCCAAAGAAAGAGAAAAAUAUUUUUAACCAGCCAACUUUGGUGCAAGUUCCAGCAGAACUGUCUGCUUCCUAUGAUCUUGGGCAAUUAAUGGCAGUAGAAGAAUGGCACCUCAUGGUAUGGAAACCGCUGACUGGAAGGAAAUGAUGAAGAGGCAGCCCACAACAUUCCUGUUUGUGAAGCUCUGCUGUCCCCAGCAUUUGUCUCUGCCCACACUGCCAGGCUUUGGGGGUUAGCAAGAACAGCAACUCAAACCAAUAAUCUUCUGCCACUUCCUUUUCCAGUGUUGGCAGUGCUGUCAGCUCCCACGCACCAUGGAAAGCCUGGUGGUAAAAGAGUCAUUGCUGUGAUUAUCUAGGGACA